GCCUCCUUGGCGCAAUCAGCUAGCGCUUUCGGCUGUUAACGGAAAGGUUGGUGGUUAAAGCCCACCCGGAGACG